UUAAAUUGAAGAGUUUGAUCAUGGCUCAGAUUGAACGCUGGCGGCAGGCCUAACACAUGCAAGUCGAACGGUAACAGGAAACAGCUUGCUGUUUCGCUGACGAGUGGCGGACGGGUGAGUAAUGUCUGGGAAACUGCCUGAUGGAGGGGGAUAACUACUGGAAACGGUAGCUAAUACCGCAUAACGUCGCAAGACCAAAGAGGGGGACCUUCGGGCCUCUUGCCAUCGGAUGUGCCCAGAUGGGAUUAGCUAGUAGGUGGGGUAACGGCUCACCUAGGCGACGAUCCCUAGCUGGUCUGAGAGGAUGACCAGCCACACUGGAACUGAGACACGGUCCAGACUCCUACGGGAGGCAGCAGUGGGGAAUAUUGCACAAUGGGCGCAAGCCUGAUGCAGCCAUGCCGCGUGUAUGAAGAAGGCCUUCGGGUUGUAAAGUACUUUCAGCGGGGAGGAAGGGAGUAAAGUUAAUACCUUUGCUCAUUGACGUUACCCGCAGAAGAAGCACCGGCUAACUCCGUGCCAGCAGCCGCGGUAAUACGGAGGGUGCAAGCGUUAAUCGGAAUUACUGGGCGUAAAGCGCACGCAGGCGGUUUGUUAAGUCAGAUGUGAAAUCCCCGGGCUCAACCUGGGAACUGCAUCUGAUACUGGCAAGCUUGAGUCUCGUAGAGGGGGGUAGAAUUCCAGGUGUAGCGGUGAAAUGCGUAGAGAUCUGGAGGAAUACCGGUGGCGAAGGCGGCCCCCUGGACGAAGACUGACGCUCAGGUGCGAAAGCGUGGGGAGCAAACAGGAUUAGAUACCCUGGUAGUCCACGCUGUAAACGAUGUCGACUUGGAGGUUGUGCCCUUGAGGUGUGGCUUCCGGAGCUAACGCGUUAAGUCGACCGCCUGGGGAGUACGACCGCAAGGUUAAAACUCAAAUGAAUUGACGGGGGCCCGCACAAGCGGUGGAGCAUGUGGUUUAAUUCGAUGCAACGCGAAGAACCUUACCUGGUCUUGACAUCCACGGAAGUUUUCAGAGAUGAGAAUGUGCCUUCGGGAACCGUGAGACAGGUGCUGCAUGGCUGUCGUCAGCUCGUGUUGUGAAAUGUUGGGUUAAGUCCCGCAACGAGCGCAACCCUUAUCCUUUGUUGCCAGCGGUCCGGCCGGGAACUCAAAGGAGACUGCCAGUGAUAAACUGGAGGAAGGUGGGGAUGACGUCAAGUCAUCAUGGCCCUUACGACCAGGGCUACACACGUGCUACAAUGGCGCAUACAAAGAGAAGCGACCUCGCGAGAGCAAGCGGACCUCAUAAAGUGCGUCGUAGUCCGGAUUGGAGUCUGCAACUCGACUCCAUGAAGUCGGAAUCGCUAGUAAUCGUGGAUCAGAAUGCCACGGUGAAUACGUUCCCGGGCCUUGUACACACCGCCCGUCACACCAUGGGAGUGGGUUGCAAAAGAAGUAGGUAGCUUAACCUUCGGGAGGGCGCUUACCACUUUGUGAUUCAUGACUGGGGUGAAGUCGUAACAAGGUAACCGUAGGGGAACCUGCGGUUGGAUCACCUCCUUACCUUAAAGAAGC
rnacentral:rRNA from 2 species